UAGCCUUGACAUUGAUAGAACACUUUAGAGAUAGAGUGGUGCCCUUCGGGGAACUUGAAAACAGGUGCUGCACGGCUGUCGUCAGCCCGUGUCGUGAGAUGUUGGGUUAAGUCCCGCAACGAGCGCAACCCUCGUCCUUAGUUGCCAGCAGGUUAAGCUGGGCACUCUAAGGAGACUGCCUUCGCAAGGAGGAGGAAGGUGAGGACGACGUCAAGUCAUCAUGGCCCUUAUGGCUAGGGCUACACACGUGCUACAAUGGGGCGUACAGAGAGUUGCGAUACCGCGAGGUGGAGCCAAUCUCAUAAAGCGUCUCUCAGUUCGGAUUGGAGUCUGCAACUCGACUCCAUGAAGC
rnacentral:rRNA from 1 species